rnacentral:rRNA from 1 species
UACGAAGGGGGCUAGCGUUGCUCGGAAUCACUGGGCGUAAAGCGCACGUAGGCGGAUUGCUAAGUCGGGGGUGAAAUCCUGGAGCUCAACUCCAGAACUGCCUUCGAUACUGGAAGCUCGAGUCCGGGAGAGGUGAGUGGAACUGCGAGUGUAGAGGUGAAAUUCGUAGAUAUUCGCAAGAACACCAGUGGCGAAGGCGGCUCACUGGCCCGGUACUGACGCUGAGGUGCGAAAGCGUGGGGAGCAAACAGG